ACGUAUGAGGCAAGCGUUGUUCGGAAUUAUUGGGCGUAAAGGGCAUCUAGGCGGGAUGUUAAGUCAGGUGUGAAAGUCCACGGCUCAACUGUGGGAUUGCAUUUGAUACUGACAUUCUUGAGUUCAGAAGAGGAAGGCGGAAUUCCCGGUGUAGCGGUGAAAUGCGUAGAUAUCGGGAAGAACACCGGUGGCGAAGGCGGCCUUCUGGUCUUGGACUGACGCUGACAUGCGAAAGUGUGGGGAUCAAACGG
rnacentral:rRNA from 1 species